AUUGAACGCUGGCGGCAGGCCUAACACAUGCAAGUCGGACGGUAGCACAGAGGAGCUUGCUCCUUGGGUGACGAGUGGCGGACGGGUGAGUAAUGUCUGGGGAUCUGCCCGAUAGAGGGGGAUAACCACUGGAAACGGUGGCUAAUACCGCAUAACGUCGCAAGACCAAAGAGGGGGACCUUCGGGCCUCUCACUAUCGGAUGAACCCAGAUGGGAUUAGCUAGUAGGCGGGGUAAUGGCCCACCUAGGCGACGAUCCCUAGCUGGUCUGAGAGGAUGACCAGCCACACUGGAACUGAGACACGGUCCAGACUCCUACGGGAGGCAGCAGUGGGGAAUAUUGCACAAUGGGCGCAAGCCUGAUGCAGCCAUGCCGCGUGUAUGAAGAAGGCCUUCGGGUUGUAAAGUACUUUCAGCGGGGAGGAAGGCGGUGAGGUUAAUAACCUCACCGAUUGACGUUACCCGCAGGAGAAGCACCGGCUAACUCCGUGCCAGCCGCCGCGGUAA
rnacentral:rRNA from 1 species